GAUGAACGCUGGCGGCGUGCCUAAUACAUGCAAGUCGAGCGAACAGACGAGGAGCUUGCUCCUCUGACGUUAGCGGCGGACGGGUGAGUAACACGUGGAUAACCUACCUAUAAGACUGGGAUAACUUCGGGAAACCGGAGCUAAUACCGGAUAACAUGUUGAACCGCAUGGUUCAACAGUGAAAGACGGUUUUGCUGUCACUUAUAGAUGGAUCCGCGUCGCAUUAGCUAGUUGGUAAGGUAACGGCUUACCAAGGCAACGAUGCGUAGCCGGCCUGAGAGGGUGAUCGGCCACACUGGAACUGAGACACGGUCCAGACUCCUACGGGAGGCAGCAGUAGGGAAUCUUCCGCAAUGGGCGAAAGCCUGACGGAGCAACGCCGCGUGAGUGAAGAAGGUCUUCGGAUCGUAAAACUCUGUUAUUAGGGAAGAACAAAUGUGUAAGUAACUAUGCACGUCUUGACGGUACCUAAUCAGAAAGCCACGGCUAACUACGUG
rnacentral:rRNA from 1 species